CCUACGGGCGGCAGCAGUGAGGAAUAUUGGUCAAUGGGCGUAAGCCUGAACCAGCCAAGUCGCGUGAGGGAUGAAGGUUCUAUGGAUCGUAAACCUCUUUUAUAAGGGAGUAAAGUGUGGGACGUGUCCUCUUUUGUAUGUACCUUAUAAAUAAGGAUCGGCUAACUCCGUGCCAGCAGCCGCGGUAAUACGGAGGAUCCGAGCGUUAUCCGGGUUUAUUGGGUUUAAAGGGUGCGUAGGCGGCCUUUUAAGUCAGCGGUGAAAGUGUGUGGCUCAACCAUAGAAUUGCCGGUGAAACUGGGGGGCUUGAGGAUGCUGGAGGCAGGCGGAAUGCGUGGUGUAGCGGUGAAAUGCUUAGAUAUCACGCAGAACCCCGAUUGCGAAGGCAGCCUGCCAAGCCAUGACUGACGCUGAGGCACGAAAGCGUGGGGAUCAAACAGGAUUAGAUACCCUGGUAGUC
rnacentral:rRNA from 1 species